GAUGAGCGCUAGCUACAGGCUUAACACAUGCAAGUCGAGGGGCAGCAUGGUCUUAGCUUGCUAAGGCCGAUGGCGACCGGCGCACGGGUGAGUAACACGUAUCCAACCUGCCGUCUACUCUUGGACAGCCUUCUGAAAGGAGGAUUAAUACAAGAUGGCAUCAUGAGUCCGCAUGUUCACAUGAUUAAAGGUAUUCCGGUAGACGAUGGGGAUGCGUUCCAUUAGAUAGUAGGCGGGGUAACGGCCCACCUAGUCUUCGAUGGAUAGGGGUUCUGAGAGGAAGGUCCCCCACAUUGGAACUGAGACACGGUCCAAACGCCUACGGGAGGCAGCAGUGAGGAAGAUUGGUCAAUGGGCGAGAGCCUGAACCAGCCAAGUAGCGUGAAGGAUGACUGCCCUAUGGGUUGUAAACUUCUUUUAUAAAGGAAUAAAGUCGGGUAUGGAUACCCGUUUGCAUGUACUUUAUGAAUAAGGAUCGGCUAACUCCGUG
rnacentral:rRNA from 1 species